UACGUAGGGUGCUAGCGUUGUUCGGAGUUACUGGGCGUAAAGCGUGCGUAGGCGGUGGCCCAAGUCUGGUGUGAAAUCUCCCGGCUUAACUGGGAGGGUGCGCCGGAAACUGGGUCGCUGGAGUACCGGAGAGGCAAGCGGAAUUCCUGGUGUAGCGGUGGAAUGCGUAGAUAUCAGGAGGAACACCCGUGGUGUAGACGGCUUGCUGGACGGUCACUGACGCUGAGGCACGAAAGCGUGGGGAGCAAACAGG
rnacentral:rRNA from 1 species